AGCUUUGCAGCAGUGGCAGUAUCGUAGCCAAUGAGGUCUAUCCGAGGCGCGAUUAUUGCUAAUUGAAAAAAAAAAUACACACAGGAAAGUGUACAAAACAAAUGUGUGUCUCAGUGAAUUAACAGAAAGCAGACCCAUGU
ensembl:snRNA RNU4-82P RNA, U4 small nuclear 82, pseudogene